rnacentral:piRNA from 1 species
UAAAAGUCAAAGUAAUGUGAG